rnacentral:miRNA from 1 species
GUAACCAUGACAUACUCGUUCC